CCCUGAAGUGGCAUGAGUGCAGGGGUGAUGUCUGCCCCUCCUCAACCCUCACUACCUAUGGCAGUCAGGAGAGCUGGCCCCAGGGGCAGGAGAGCAGGAGAGCACAGCCUGCAUCUUCCCUGGGAAGCACCGUAAGGCUAGCCCUGGUGGAGCCAGACGAGGGACUGAGGCAUGAAGAAGUGAAGUGGCUUUCUCAAGGCAACACAAGCAGUACUCAGUGGCCCAUAACUGAAACUUCCAGGAGGGCCAGUCUAGACCCUCCGGACUCUCACAACCAACUCCAGACUACCUGACCCUUUCUCAAGACACGCAGAGAACAACCUGGCACUUGGGGGACUCAGAAACACAAAGACUGAAAGGUUGAAAUUAAAUCACAAAGGCUCUAAAUGACAGGUUAAGGAAAGACUCAACUAUUCUGUAAGAAAACGUAAACUUUUCCUAAUCAAUUCUGGGGCCACAGAGAGGACGGGUGGCAGAGAAUGAUUGGCAGAGGUUGGGGUAGAUAAGCCAGGCAGAGAGACAGAAAUAAUAACCCCAACCCCAGCAGAAGGUUAGGGUGGUCUGGAUCAAGAAACAGUCAUGAGAAUAGCAACAGAGGACAUGAGCUUUGAAGCCCCACCCACCCCGGUGUCAACAGGGCUGGGUUACCAGCCAGCUAUUCCAAUUAUUCAUAGAAAUCAAUUUCAUUCCACAGAGGCUCAGAUAAAGCUCAUGUUGCCAGCCGACAGUAAUGGAUGAGAAGCUUAGGGUGAGGAGAUAAGAAGAGACCCAGUGUGGGGUGAUCGGGUGGGGCUUUGCAGGCCGAGGGCAGUGUGGUUAGAGGUUAUCAAAACAUCCCUUCAAAUAGCAAAGGUUCAGCGCCAGCCAGCUCAGCUGUGAUCUGUGUGCGGAGGGACAAGCUAGCCCUUCCACAGGCCUGAGCCAUGAGACCCAGAUUCAAGGUCCUUGAGUUUUAUUCCUACCAACAGGGGGAAACUAAUUCAGUUUUGACUGAGGUGGAGGCUCAAAAGAUUAUAAAGCAAGAUGCUCUCUGAGGCCCUGGCCAUCUGAGGACCAGGAAUUGCAUGUAUGUGUCUUUUGUGUAUUUAUGGCAUUAGGAAAAGAAUGGUUCCUUCACAGCACUCAAGAGCUAGUGAGGAAGACAGAAAUGUCUACAUUGUCUCAUUGAAGCAUGGGCAGAAAGGCUUGGCCCCUAUCACACUUUCUAGGAAAAGGUCCCAGGACACCCCUAGAGACAUAAGACAUAAGACAUAAGACAUAAGACAUAAGACAGAAAAGAGUGUAGGAGAGGAGGUUUGCCAAGAGAAGAAUAGAACAGUGAGAAACACUGGGGUUCCCACAGUAGGGUAGAAACACGAGAGGCCAAAGAUGCCCAGAUGAGAAAUCAGAGGGAGAAUUAAGUGCCCAGUAAUAAAUCACUGAUUCUUAUAUCGUACUGUUCACUCUGCUGGGCAUCAUCCUGUGUGUUUCACAUGAAGUAAUCAGCGUCAUCCUCAUGACCACCCUCACUUUAAACCAGAGGAGGCCAAAGCUUUGAAGUAAAGGCAAUUCUCCCAAAGUCAAAACUACAGGGGAUGGAGCUGGCAUGUAGAUACAGGCAGUCUGACUUCAUCACAUCACUACAAUGAGUUCCACUUGCAAGGGGCUCUCUGCAAGAUCAGCACAAGCACUCGUAGAGGCACUGUACUUCUUAUACCUCAAGCAGCUUGUGCCCAUUGUGUAAGAGAAGCUGAGGCUCAAAGACAUGCUAUGUCCACAGUUGCAUUACAGAGAACUGGCAGGGGCCGGCAGGCAGACCUAUCUCUCUUCCAGGUCACCUCUAGAUCUUCCUUGUUGAAGAGCUGAACAGCUGUGUUGGAGCAUCCCCCAGAGAAAGACAGGACUGAGAGUCAGUCUCAUCCCACCCUGCUCAGACAGCUUUUCCUCACAGCUCCAGAUUGGCCUGAAAGGCCCCAUCUACCAACACUCAGAGCUGGGAGGAGAUAACUCCUUUUUAUCUCUGCAGAGGGUUCAAUAGUUUAUUCCCACCCAGGGCAGUGGGGUGCCUGGUGCCCGUUCUUGGAAGGUGUCCAGCAGCAGGACAAAUGUGAGGCACUUCCUAUCCUUCUCUCUUGCACGUGCUCGUCUCCACACCCUACUGUCACCAGCAGGAAACAUCUCAGAUGCAGAUCGUCUACACAGACACCAGGUCCAGCGGAAAAUAACCACCCUGAGCUCAGAACUCUGGCCAGCAAGGCAGCCAGUUGGUAGGAAUAUCACAGCUCUGGAAUGGCCUAAACCAGCAUGCUUUCUCGGCUCUUCCACCUUCCAGCUGUGUCUGGUUAAGCUAUUAUUAAAUUUCGCUUUAUUAUAACUCCCAUCUUGGGAAGUUGCUACCAGGGCUAAGACAAGAAAGAUAAAGUAGGGACUGGAGAGAUAGCUCAGCAGUUGAGAGUGCUGGCUGUUCUUUCAGAGGACCUGGGUUUAAUUCCCAGCACCUACACAGAGUAUUGCAAUCGUCUAGAACUGGAUAUCUGUUUCUGGAUAUCUUUCGCCCUUUUUUGGCCUUUUGGGAAACCAAUAUAUGUGUGUGGUGCACAGAGAGCUGUGCAGAGAAAACACUCAUACACAUAAAAUAAAUACAUCAUCAUCAAUCAAGUAUUCAGUAACUCAGCCCUGGAUCAGGCCAAUAGCUGGGGCUGGGAAAUUACCCCUCCUUUCCUGCUUACACCACAUGAAUUUGACUACCUACUAUGAAUGAAACCAAAACCCCCACUGAAGCCCCCAACAAUAGAGCAAGUAAGCCUACCUUGCUUUCCCAGCACUCUCUAGUGCUCCCCACACUCUGCAGAGGAUGGAGCACACCCCCUUAGCCUGGAAUUCGAGGGCUUCUUGGGUACCCAGGUCUGGUCUCCAGGGCCCAGGUGACUCACUACCCUUGAACAAAGCCUAUCUUCAGGCUCCAGAACAUCCUUCAAGACCUGGAUCAUCUGCCGCCUCCAGAUCCCCGAGGGAGAAUGAAUCACUUGCUCUAUUGUGCUCCCACAGUUCUGAGCUCAUUCUUCUUUGUGCUGUGGACACAGAUUCUUGUAUCUGUCUCCCCAGAGUGAGCUCUAGCUAGUCAGCAAGAUGUAUCCCCAUUAUUUCAUCACUUAUUAGGCACAGGUUUGUAAAGGAAUCCAAUAGCAUACCCUCGAAUGGAAGCGGCUCCUUUAAAUGCUUACCUGGUGUGAACACCUUCUUUUGGAGACUCAGAGGCCUAAGGCUUGAGGCUAGAGAGGGCCUGUGGGAGAUACAGGGUGUUGAGAAGGAUAGGAACAAUAGACAGGUCCAGGGUUGUAGGAUGAGCUAGCAAGAUGAAAACAAAGACGGUCAUGUCUGCUCUACAGUUAGGUAGUCCAAGAUCCUCCAUGGCUCUCCACUGCCCUCUGGAUGAAGGUUAAGUUAUUCUGACUUCCUAGUUGCCUUGUAAUGUAGUCUCCACCAGCCUGUAAACCUGAUGUCCUGUUAACGUCACACUCAGAUCACUCUGUACCACUCUGGAAUCCAGAACAGGCCCUUGGCUUCAGGGCCUCAUUUGCUGUUCUCUCCUUGGGUGGCCUUCCCUUUCUCCAGUCUACCUGAAUCUAAUGAUGCUCAGGUGUAAUCUGAGGUGCCACUUCCGCUGAAGGUUCCCUGGCUGCCUCUCUCCACAUACAGUGAGGCAGGGCAGCAACCACAUCAGAGUAUAUUCAGUCUGUGCCCUCAACAGCCAACACAGACCGGAAAGAAAUGAGAAUCAUCUAUUGAACAAAUGAAUGAAUGAAGUAUUUGAACAAGAACUCUAGGCCACAGGUAAAAACACUUUUUUUUUAUCCCAGCUCUUGAAAAAAAGCUCAGUAGUUAAGAGCACAUACAGCUCCUUGCAGAGGGCCAGAGUUCCAUUCCCAGCACUCAAGUCACACGGCUCACAACUACUUCUAUCUCUAGAUCCUGGACAUUUGACAUCCACUACUGGCCUUCAUGGGCACCUGCUUUUGUAAGCACAUAAAAAUGUGUGGACACACAUGUGUACGUAUAAUUAAAAAAUAAAAAUAAAAUAACUCCUUUUAUAAAA